rnacentral:rRNA from 1 species
ACGGGAGGCAGCAGUGAGGAAUAUUGGUCAAUGGGCGCGAGCCUGAACCAGCCAAGUAGCGUGCAGGAUGACGGCCCUCCGGGUUGUAAACUGCUUUUAGUUGGGAAUAAAAGAGCGUACGUGUACGCUGUAUUGUAUGUACCAUCAGAAAAAGGACCGGCUAAUUCCGUGCCAGCAGCCGCGGUAAUACGGAAGGUCCGGGCGUUAUCCGGAUUUAUUGGGUUUAAAGGGAGCGUAGGCGGCUUGUUAAGCGUGUUGUGAAAUGUAGAUGCUCAACAUCUGAAUUGCAGCGCGAACUGGCUGGCUUGAGUGCGCAGGAAGUUGGCGGAAUUCGUCGUGUAGCGGUGAAAUGCUUAGAUAUGACGAAGAACUCCGAUUGCGAAGGCAGCUGACUGUAGCGUAACUGACGCUGAAGCUCGAAAGUGCGGGUAUCGAACAGGAUUAGAUACCCUGGUA